UGGUAACAGGGGUAUACAUUCAUCUCUGCGUUUGUUCGUCCAAAGGAGAACCCAUGGAACUAAUAGGGACAUGCCGCGUCAAAACGAACUCUUUCCUGAGACAGAGAUUAACAUUCUUGCCAGCUCGCCUAGCCCUGGGAAUGAUAGCCUGGGUCGCCUUCAUCAAUAUCUACAUGGUGAGGGUCAACUUGUCAGUGGCUAUAAUCGCCAUGGUGAAGAGGAAUAUCACUGGUGGGAAGCAUGCUGUAUGCUUGGAGCCUACUUCGUCUGUAGAUAAUGGCUCGUCUAAUUGGCCACAAAAUAGAUGACCAUCCUCUUACGACACCCUCUUCAUUGCAACAGGAAAGAAAUAAUCAGGAAGGAGAUUUCUUGUGGGAUGAGACCACACAAGGCCUGAUUCUUGGGUCCUUUUAUUAUGGAUACACUUUGUCACAG